rnacentral:tRNA from 1 species
GGUCCUAGGGUGUAUUACACAUUUAAUUGCAAAUUAAAAGUUACUGGCCAACACCAGUUAGGACUU